UGAGUCAAAAUGGGCAUAUUUUCAUCAGUCAUGCUACUUUCUUUCAACUGACGAAUUGACAUGGUAUAAGGCACAGCAAAAGUGCUCCCAAUAUGGCAGUGUGCUGGUGGAAAUAGAAUCUCAAGAGGAAAAUGACUUUGUAGAAAGAUUCCUUGAGCGACGUAGAGGGAAUGUUGAUAUCUAUCCAUGGAUAGGUGCUUCUGACAUGGCAGUAG